GCAAUAAAUCGGCCGCACCAAACUUCGGCCUUAUCUCAUUAUCGGCUUCUGUCCUGUGCAGCUGGCUGCUUGUUCCACACUUGUCUCCAGUAGCUUCUCAUGCCCCUGCUCGCCUCCGGCAAAGAAUCACCGUGGAUCUCGGCGGACUCCCUGAGCUGCGGCUGGUCAAGUACGCCCGGCUGCAAUCAUGUCUGACAUGGCCAGCUGCGAUGGGGAUGAACACCCUGAAGGAGUUCUACCACACCGAGCCGGACAAUCGGGUGGCGGGGUUGAAGGACAGGCGCCACCGACGCCAACUUCUAGAAUUUCAGUUAAGAGAGCUGUUGAAGUAAUUCAAUCAUUUGAUGAUUACAAGAGGUGGUUGGUAACUGAAAUAGGGUUUGGUGGUAUGCUGAAGCUCCCUGCCAUACUGAAAAUGAACCUUAAAUUCAGUGCAUGGGUAAUGAGUAAAGUCAGUGUUAAGCGCCAUGCUAUUAUACUGUCAGGCACGAAGAUUCUGAAGUUUUGGGCAGAUGAUGUGCACAAGGUUUUCGGAAUCCCAUGCGGUCACCGGAAUGUACGAGGCCGUGAUGGUUUUAUAAACCCUGAGGCCAUACAGUACAUAAAAAACACACUUGGGAUGGACAAGACAGGGGCGCACAGUCUCGAGGCAGCAGAGCAAUUCCUUCUCAGGGACAUAAGUGAAUCAUCUAGCAAGCUUGAGAAGGAUUGCUUUCAGAUUGCAUUCGUCAUUUUCGUAAUGGGUCAUGUUUUGGCGCCAACAACCAAACAUGACUAUGGCACGAUAGAAUAUUGUGGUGCACUUGCUGAUACGGAAAGUAUAUCACAGUUCAACUGGUGCGAGUAUGUUCUUGAGUGUCUGAUGGAGGCAGUCCGUCGGCUAAAGAAUGACAUGAUGGCAGGCAACAUGUCUACUAAUUUGGUUGGUUGCCACUUGUGGUAACAGGUUUUUUUCCUCGACAAUGUUGAUUUAGGGAUGUUCAACAAGAAGCAUGAUGUCCUCCCUCGGAUAAGUGACUUUGACAAAGCAACCAUGAAAAAUAUGAUAACUAUGUCAACUGACAUUGGCACCAGCGUCCUGUCAUUUUACAACUGUAAGUUCCGCCGUGACGAUGACGUGUGCUAUACUCGACGGAAGCAUCCAGAAUGCGAUCCUGAAAUCAACAUCCAAGGAGCAGGCGUUGGCAAUGACGACGUAUGUAUUGGUGAUGAUACGGCAGCAGUGGCAAUGGGAGUGAAUGAAUCAUCUUCGUCGGUUGCUCCCAAUCUGGAUGUGCGAACACCUCUUCGCGCCCUUGGGCCAAUUGAUUUUGCGCAGCAUCUACAAAGGCGGUACCCUAGCAUGGCAUCGCAUCUUAUAUCUAUUUUGUUGAGGGAGCAGAAUGCCCGGUGCCAGCGCAAAAUAAAUACAGCCCGUGCUAAUAUCCAGGCUGACAUGAUCAAGUUUGUCGAUAAACUCAUGGAUGCACUCAGCACAAGGAGUGGAGGUGCUGAGGACUCCUGCAGGUCCUAAAAUUUCUUGAGUGAGACUUGAUAUGUCGGCAUGCUCCGAUGGCAACCCCACGGUAAGGAGGAGGCGUGAUGAAUCAACAUCUCACCAGCAGGAAAAGAGGCAGCGGACUGCCGAAUCGACUAUGAUAAUUCUCAGAGAUCAAAUUGAAUGCUUUGUUAAACAUGUGCUGCAACAGAUUUCUGAGUUGUUCAUUGACCUCCCGGAUGAUGGGAGCACCACUGUAUUUGGGGAGAGGACGAAUGGACUCCCAGGACGCAAAUAUGUCUAUAGGCCUGGUUUCCAGACUGACCCCUGGACAAGGGGUGUUGUCCCUUACCCGCCAACGCCAGCGGUUACGGACCUUUUAGUUGAGUUCUUUGCCACGUCAUCAGCUCAUCACCUGUCAAGGAACUUUCUUGUUCAUGAGAAACCUCGGUUCAUACGCAUAUCAAGGGUCACAUUGAAAGAACAGCUGGUCGGGGAUGCGGCAAUCGAUCAUGAGCUCAUGUCCAUCAUCAUCUGUCGUUAUACUCAGGUGGACCAGGAAGCUGAUAAGGAAUUACCGUAUCUCUCAUGGAGGCACCCAAUUGAACCUGAGUUCUCGACUUUUGUCUUAUCGGAUUUCGAUUAUCUGCACACAAAGUCGAUUCAGAACCAGCUAUGUGCUAAUGAUCUGAAGUAUGAUAUUACAUCAUCACAGCUGUUCUUCACUCCCGUGCCCAGGCCUGAAGGUUGGAUGGUGGUUUUCUGGGACAUGAUCAAACGGUUCAUCACCGUCAUCGAUUCUUUAUACACCAGGCAAUGCCCACAGCCUCCGACACAGCAGCAAGAUGAGAUAAUUGCCUGGAAGCUUCACUAUGCUCUGUUCCACUGCCUUAAUGAAUACUAUGCUGGAUGGCCAACAAGCAAAGAUGGUUGGACUGUGAAGUUCAUGCCAGUCAGUGACAACAUAGUUACUCGAGAUGAAACUGGUGCUUGCAUCAUCCAUAUUGCUCGCCAAUUUGAUGGGGGAAAGCUCAAGUUGCCCAUCACGAAGCUGAUCCUCCACCCCUGAGACGGGACGUACCACCCAGCGAUAUUUGCAUGGAUGCAUCGACGAAGACCCUCCAGAAUUAAGGUUGCAUUGUCUUCGUGCUUGGCCUUCAUCACUUCUUUUGGUGAUGAUGUCUCGCAUGGGUCCAUCACCAGCAAGGUCUUCUCCUCCGUAUCCACCACAUAUAGCGACCAGCUAUUCAUCAUUGGUAUUGGUAACAUCAGUUGCAAGUUGUUAUGGAAUCUAGCAAUCAGCGCUCCAUGGGUGCUGAAAUCAUUUUCCCUCUGCUCUGGGAGAACAUAUGGAUCUGAAUCUGGUAGACCGCUAUCAACGAUAGCAUGCACUGGUGUCCUUGGGCUAUCUUCCAAAGCAUCGUUCUGAUUCAUAGCCAUGUCAAUUCCUUCUGUUCGAUGAGCAACAUCUUAAUCAGGUUAGUUUCCCCUAUAAGAAUGAUGUGCCUUGGGAAAUAAUAUGAAUGUACAAUGUAUUAUUGCACUUCUUGUUUUACCUGAUGCCACUAUGUGAGCAGUUAUAACUGGGUCGGCUUCAAGUUCAAUGUGAAUAGGGGAUCCAAUUUGUGCUGCUCCAAUGGGGACUAGGGGUAAUGCUGUUUCUAAACCAGGGAUAUGGCCUAAUGAUUUUGCACUCCCAACAUUACCUGUCAUGGUCAUCAAUGGAAUUUCAACCGGCGCCACUCCCCGCCCACGUUGCUCUGCAAAAAAAUAAUUGAUUUGUCCUGUCAAAAGUAUGAAACCUUACUUCAGCGGUCAAGUUAUACCAGAUGGUCUAUUACCUUGGUGAUGCAUGAUUCUCAACCGGUUCCUGCCUAUGCGUUCAUACCGACUUUGCAUGUCCUCAUCACUGUCUGAUGACUCAAAGCCAAUACAUGGCUCCAUCACCUGUUUACCAGGGUCAUCUGCUGCAAUUUCCACUAUGCGGCUGCGUUGACGAGCUUCGUAGCCUCCUUCCUCAAUUACCACAGGCGGCAGUCGUGCUACACGUGCCUGAUCUGCAAGGGAGGCAUCUGCGGCAACAACACUGUUUGUUAGAUCAGAAAGGAGUAAUUUGUAAUUUUCUGAAUUUAGUUCUGAAUUUGGUUUUUACCUAUUGCUGCAACCAACUGUCGAUCAUCUUCUGAAGCAGUGUCGUAGCUUUCAUCGUCUUCACCUGUUGCAUUCAGGUGAUCAGAUAUAAUUCAAAUUCUACUUUUCCUACCACAAAUGACAGAACAUGUCAUAACCAUGCAUACGUACUGAAUUGGAAACCUAUGUGUUGGGGAGGUA